UACGUAGGGUGCAAGCGUUGUCCGGAAUUAUUGGGCGUAAAGAGCUCGUAGGCGGUCUGUCACGUCUGCUGUGAAAACUCGGGGCUUAACCCCGGGCCUGCAGUGGGUACGGGCAGACUAGAGUGCGGUAGGGGGAGACUGGAAUUCCUGGUGUAGCGGUGAAAAUGCGCAGAUAUCAGGAGGAACACCCGUAGCGAAGGCGGCACUUCUGGGCCGAUACUGACACUGAGGAGCGAAAGCGUGGGGAGCGAACAGG
rnacentral:rRNA from 1 species